GCGGAAACCACUAGAAUCGACUAGAAUGGAUGUUAAUUGUUCAAUUAACAACAGCUGAAUAAUAAGCAAGAGCAUGUAGACGUUGAUUCUUAUGAUUCCUAUUUGCCGCAUGCAAUCCCUGCAUUGCAAGACCCAUGACCUGAAAUGCAUAAUUAACCACCAAAAGACGGUGAUCAUCGCUUUCAAAAGUAGGUCAAUAAAUGAAAUAGAAGCGACACACCCUUUUUUGCCGGCUGCAUAAUCUCGUUUGAAGGUGAUUCAAGACAUCAGUUGUUCAAUUCAUCAAAAGUACGCAACACGAAACUAACAAAUGGAAUUUCUUUUGAUUUUAUUGGUUUACAUUUUCAUCGUUUAUUGAAAAGUUUCGAUUUCUUUUCGUAGUUUGUCAUCGCCACUUUCUUGGCUGUUGCUGCCGCUGCGCCUUCCAGCUACAAGCCGGAAUACAAAGCUCCUAGCUAUACUACCCCAAGCUACCCUGCACCAAAGUACCCUACUACUAGCUAACCUGCACCAGCUUACUCUACUCCCAGCUACAACAAGGAUAACAAAUAGGCUGAUAUCACCAUCACCAGCCAAUCUGACGAACGCAUCCUCGAUGGCAGCAGCCAAUGGAGCCAUUACGACAGGCCGAAUGCCGGUUGCAGGGUUCCGUAAUAGCGUAGUCAGAGGUAGUGGAACGUCACUAAAGCGUAGCAUAGGACGCACCAGAGGGAAACUCCACUCAUGGGAACCGUGAUGGUCUCGUGAGAUGCGAACGGCGGACCCACACCUGUACCACGAGAUGAACACCACGGCUCCAAUAGAAGGAGGCACACAUAUUUUUGCACGAAAACUGCGUUUGUAAGAAGUUGCGGGAGUCCCGCACAAUGAUGCGUUUUUACUUUUUUUUAUUAAUUUCCCAAAAAAUCAUUUAAUGAACUUUAUUUGAUUUUUUGUGCUGAUUCAGAAUAUAUGCAUAAUUUGUAAAUUGGUCAAUAACAUAUUUUGUUUUUUCACGAUAACUGAUGGUUCCUAUCUCUAAUGCAUGUGUUCGCUAUCCACUUGUUCCGUCAUAUUCACCGACUUUUUAUUUUAGAUUAUGGGUUUUUGUAGUCACACUAAUGUAACGGAACUGUCGAUUUGAACCAUCUAUGCUUAGAAAAAUAUUGAAACGCUCUGACACCUGAGCUAUUGAGCAUGUUUAAAUGAUGAAUAACGCAUAUUGGCCAGCAUAAUUUUGGACUUCUUUUGGAAUCUUGCGACGUAAUGAAAAUGGCGUGUGGUUUAUGAACAAUUUUCUUAAACGUUUGGCUUGAGCAUGUCGUCGGCUGACCAUUCUCGUACAAUCACGUCGCUUAUCCCGCUGAAGCAAGAGAUGAAAAUAAAAAACAUUGCAUUACAUGGCAAUCCGUAAAUCCUGUUAGACCAUCAUAUGAUUGUCUAGGAUACUACCACUCGAACCACUGCACCAAGCCGACAAUGAGUUCCUACUCCUAAUACGAAAUGCUAAUAAUUACCUUCAAAGCUGUAUCCGCUCGCCUGUUUCCUUUUUUGCUUUCCAGCAGUUCUUCUGUAGGAGGACUAUCACUCCCAAAAAAUGACGUCUUGAAGUAACAAUAAUGAUCCAUCGGUUGUCAUUUUCGCCACCAGGUGGCGUUUACCACGGCCGAGCGUCUGCUGUGUUUUCGAUGUGCUAGUGCAUUUUACUACAUUUUGCUAUUGAGGAAAUAUAUUUUUUAAAAUGGGUAAAUAGUUUUAUUUCCUUAGUUAAACCAAGCCGUCUUUUUGCUUGGAUCUAAAAAGAAAGUUCAAUAUCUUAUACGUGUCAUCAAACAAACUGUCGCCCUAGUAAAGUAAUAUAACAUAAUGCGAUGAAGGUUAAAGAGAGAUUUAAAGAAGUACGGACGAACGAAACGGGGAAAUUCCGGCAUAACAACACAACAACAACAUUUUUCCUUAUUAGGACUAUAUGCAGGAGCAUACCAAUUCCUUGGUCUGAAAUUGAAAUUCACACUUUGUAUGGUGCGAAAAACAGGGAAAGGGUAAGAAUAUUGAUCAUUAUGUCAUAAUGGAAAGGUAUAUCCACCGGGGAUGGUGAGAAACAUCAGGGUGCCACGAAAUUGUAUAAAAUUGUGCAACAGAGCCAACUAUAAUCAGUUGAGUGUCCAUCUACAACUUAACAAGAGAAUUUCAGUUGUUUACCAAUUACUGAAUUCUCUUGCUCGUUAACAUCAACAACUUCAGUUAGCCUUGCAACAAUAGGCAUCCAUGGCCUUACGCUUCUACUUACUAUUGCCCUUAUGACUGGGACAAGCAUAGGUGUGCCAAUGGGUUCACCGUCUUCUAGCUAUGGUGGUUAUUCAUACCAGAUAACCACUGCUGCGCCGUACUACACCACGAUGUAUUCGUUUCCUACUUACUACACCACGUAUGCAGUACCGACUUACUAUACGGAGGCCCCGAAAUACUACCCCGCGCCGAACUAUUACACAGAAGCGCCAGUGUAUUACAUUACAGCGUACGCUUCACCGUCUUACUACACUGAGGCCCCAAAAUAUUACGUAGCUCCAACCUACUUCACCGAAGCUGCCCCAUCUUACUACUCCUAGCCGACCAACUAUACUGAAGCCUCGAAGUACUACGCUGCCCCAAGUUACUACACCACGGCUGCUCCUUCAUAGUACAUGGAACCAGGUAAUAUGAAUCCUUUUGUUUUAUCAUUUGCAGUCCUCGUUUCAAAAUGAGUAUUUCCCUGUCAAAUAUUUAUGCGUUCACUAGUCGUCCCAUACGAAUGUGGUUUCUCAAUGAAAUGUUGAAUACAAAUAUAUAAUUAUCGACA
rnacentral:lncRNA from 1 species